GCACCCGUAGCUUAAUGGAUAAAGCGUCGGCUUGCGGAGCCGUAGAUUGCGAGUUCAACUCUCGCCGGGUGCACCA
rnacentral:tRNA from 5 species